rnacentral:rRNA from 1 species
UGGGGAAUUUUGGACAAUGGGCGAAAGCCUGAUCCAGCAAUGCCGCGUGUGUGAAGAAGGCCUUCGGGUUGUAAAGCACUUUUGUCCGGAAAGAAAUCCUUGGCUCUAAUACAGUCGGGGGAUGACGGUACCGGAAGAAUAAGCACCGGCUAACUACGUGCCAGCAGCCGCGGUAAUACGUAGGGUGCAAGCGUUAAUCGGAAUUACUGGGCGUAAAGCGUGCGCAGGCGGUUUGCUAAGACCGAUGUGAAAUCCCCGGGCUCAACCUGGGAACUGCAUUGGUGACUGGCAGGCUAGAGUAUGGCAGAGGGGGGUAGAAUUCCACGUGUAGCAGUGAAAUGCGUAGAGAUGUGGAGGAAUACCGAUGGCGAAGGCAGCCCCUUGGGCCAAUACUGACGCUCAUGCACGAAAGCGUGGGGAGCAAACAGGAUUAGAUACCCUGGUAGUCCACGCCCUAAACGAUGUCAACUAGUUGUUGGGAUUCAUUUCCUUAGUAACGUAGCUAACGCGUGAAGUUGACCGCCUGGGGAGUACGGUCGCAAGAUUAAAACUCAAAGGAAUUGACGGGGUCAUAGCUGUUUCCU